CUUGAAUAGGCCCAAAGGCGCAAUGAAAGUGAAGGGCGGUUCGGCCGUCUGCCUUGGGAUCCCGUGGACCUCGCGUUCGCGGGCGCACCAAGGGCCCGUCCCGGUCGCCUCGUCGACGGGGCGGAGCAAGAGCGUGCACGUUGGGACCCGAAAGAUGGUGAACUAUGCCUGGGCAGGACGAAGCCAGAGGAAACUCUGGUGGAGGUCCGCAGCGAUUCUGACGUGCAAAUCGAUCGUCAGACCUGGGUAGGGGCGAAAGACUAAUCGAACCAUCUAGUAGCUGGUUCCCUCCGAAGUUUCCCUCAGGAUAGCUGGCGCUCGGAGGAUGCAGUCUCAUCCGGUAAAGCGAAUGAUUAGAGGCCUUGGGGUCGAAAAGACCUCAACCUAUUCUCAAACUUUAAAUGGGUGAGAAGUCCGGUUUGCUCGACUGAAGCCCGGACGGCAACUUGGAUGCGAGUGCCAAGUGGGCCACUUUUGGUAAGCAGAACUGGCGCUGUGGGAUGAACCAAACGCCGGGUUAAGGGGCCCGAUGCGAGACGCUCACGAGAUCCCAUGAAAGGUGUUGGUUGCUAUAGACAGCAGGACGGUGGCCAUGGAAGUCGGAAUCCGCUAAGGAGUGUGUAACAACUCACCUGCCGAAGCAACUAGCCCUGAAAAUGGAUGGCGCUUCAGCGUCGACCCCAUACCCGGCCGCCGCGGCCGAAAAGCCUCGUGUUUUAAGCCGCGGUGAGUAGGAGGGGCGCGGAGGCGAGCGUCGAAGGUGCCGGGCGUAAGCCCGCCUGGAGCCGCCUCCGGCGCAGAUCUUGGUGGUAGUAGCAAAUACUCAAGUGAGAACCUUGAGGACUGAGGUGGAGAAGGGUUCCAUGUGAACAGCAGUUGAACAUGGGUCAGUCGGUCCUAAGGGAUAGGAGAAAUCCGUUCCGAGGCGGGACCUCUCAUUUUUCAUAACGAAAGUCCCGCUGAUGACCGAAAGGGAAUCGGGUUAAUAUUCCCGAACCCGGACGCGGAGAUCGUCCUCUUCGGAGGUACAUUGCGGUAACGCAAACGAGCUCGGAGACGUCGACGGGAGCACCGGGAAGAGUUAUCUUUUCUUUGUAAGGAUUCGACUCCCUGGAAUCGGCUCGCCCGGAGAUAGGGAUGGUGUUUCCGUAAAGCACCGCGCCUCUUGCGGUGUCCGGAUCGCUCCCGUCGGCCCUUGAAAAUCCGAGUGAGAGAUAGUGAUUUUCGUGCCGGACCGUACCCAUAUCCGCAGCA
rnacentral:rRNA from 1 species